rnacentral:rRNA from 1 species
UACUCUUGCAGUAUGCUUAACACAUGCAGUCAACUUGAACUUCGGUUUGGGUGGCGGACGGGUGAGUAACGCGUAAAGAACUUGCCUCACAGAUAGGGACAACAUUUGGAAACGAAUGCUAAUACCUGAUAUUAUGAUUAUAUGGCAUCGUAUAAUUAUGAAAGCUAUAUGCGCUGUGAGAGAGCUUUGCGUCCCAUUAGCUAGUUGGAGAGGUAACGGCUCACCAAGGCGAUGAUGGGUAGCCGGCCUGAGAGGGUGAUCGGCCACAAGGGGACUGAGACACGGCCCUUACUCCUACGGGAGGCAGCAGUGGGGAAUAUUGGACAAUGGACCAAGAGUCUGAUCCAGCAAUUCCGUGUGCACGAUGAAGUUUUUCGGAAUGUAAAGUGCUUUCAGUUGGGAAGAAAAAAAUGACGGUACCAACAGAAGAAGUGACGGCUAAAUACGUGCCAGCAGCCGCGGUAAUACGUAUGUCACAAGCGUUAUCCGGAUUUAUUGGGCGUAAAGCGCGUCUAGGUGGUUAUGUAAGUCUGAUGUGAAAAUGCAGGGCUCAACUCUGUAUUGCGUUGGAAACUGUGUAACUAGAGUACUGGAGAGGUAAGCGGAACUACAAGUGUAGAGGUGAAAUUCGUAGAUAUUUGUAGGAAUGCCGAUGGGGAAGCCAGCUUACUGGACAGAUACUGACGCUGAAGCGCGAAAGCGUGGGUAGCAAACAGGAUUAGAUACCCUGGUAGUCCACGCCGUAAACGAUGAUUACUAGGUGUUGGGGGUCGAACCUCAGCGCCCAAGCAAACGCGAUAAGUAAUCCGCCUGGGGAGUACGUACGCAAGUAUG